CGCAUCUGUGCAUGCAGCAUAUCAAUAAGCGGAGGAAAAGAAACUAACAAGGAUUCCCUUAGUAACGGCGAGUGAAGCGGGAAGAGCUCAAAUUUGAAAUCUUCGAGGUUUUACCCUGACGAAUUGUAGUUUAAAGAAGUGUUUUCUGUUGAAGUUUUGGUAAAAGCUCUUUGGAAUAGGACAUCAUAGAGGGUGAGAAUCCCGUAUUUGACCAUUAUUUUCAGCUGUGUGAUACACUUUCAAAGAGUCGGAUUGUUUGGGAAUGCAGUCCAAAAUGGGUGGUAAAUUUCAUCUAAAGCUAAAUAUUGGCGAGAGACCGAUAGCGAACAAGUACCGUGAGGGAAAGAUGAAAAGAACUUUGAAAAGAGAGUUAAACAGUACGUGAAAUUGUCAAAAGGGAAGCGUUUGACACCAGUGUUGUAUUCUCGAAAAUCAAUUAAAAAGAGUUUGAUUUUGUUGUGUAUUGACCUUAACAGCUUGCAUUUCAAUUUUCUUGCUUUUUUUAAUGCACUUUUCGUUUAACAAGUCAACAUCAGUUUCUUUUGUUGUAAAAAGGUCAUUGGAAGGUGGCUUUCCUUUCGGAGAAAGUGUUUAUAGCCUUUGACUCCUGCAAUCGGAGAGACUGAGGUCUGCAGCGUAGAUCCUUCGGGGUUAGAUACAUUUGUGCUAAGUUAUAGCUUUUUAUAGACAACUUGUUGACUAUGAUUAGUCUUGUAGCUUACUCGCUUAUGCUAUUUUACCUACGCUUAGGAUGUUGAUGUGAUACUGCGAGC
rnacentral:rRNA from 1 species